ACAUGCAUGUACAUGCAGGAUUGUGUGCAGAAGUGUGUGCAGAUGUGUAUGCAGACAUGCAUGUGUGUGCAGGUGUGUGUGUAGAUGUGUAUGUGUGUUGCUGUGUGUAUGCACAUGUGCACUGCGUGCAGGUGUGUGGGGAUGUGUGUGUGCACGUCUGUGUGCAGACCUGCAUGUGCAUAUGUGUGUGAGGGUGUGUGGGGAUGUGUGUGUGCACGUCUGUGUGCAGACCUGCAUGUGCAUGCAGGUGUGUGUGCAGAUGUGUGUGAGGGUGUGUAGGGAUGUGUGUGUGCACGUCUGUGUGUGCAGAUGUGUGUGCAGACAUGCAUGUGUGUGCAGGUGUGUGUGCAGGUGUGUGUGUAACUGUGUGUACGCACAUGUGCACUGCAUGCAGGUGUGUGGGGAUGUGUGUGUGCACGUCUGUGUGUGCAGAUGUGUGUGUGUCUGUGUGCACAGAUGUGUGUGCAGACAUGCAUGUGUGUGCAGUUGUGUGUGUGCAGGAGUGUGUCUGUGCGCGCAGAUGUGUGUGGGACUCACACCUGAGCUGUUCGACGGGGCCACUCUUUGGAGACGAGGUCAGGAGCCAAUGAACUCACGGAGUAAUUGCAAGUUUCCCAAUCCUAUGAAUGAGGAAGCGGAGGAGGGAGGGGCAGGGAGGGCAUGAGGAGACACAGAACAGCUCUGAAGGGAGCUACCCAGACGCGGGAGUGUCCGAGAGAAAAGCAAGUGAAAGGAAAGGAAGCGGAUGCCGCGGGUUUACAGCAGGAAAAGCCGUGGAGACAGCCGAUUCGAGAAGCGGAGAUGCUUGCGUAGAACCCUCUCUUCCCUUCUCUCUGGCCAGCAGCAUGUUUCUCCUGGUCACAAGCCUUGUACUGUGUGAGCUGCUGCAGCCAGCAUUCCUCCUGAUCCCAGAGAAACCGGGUAAGUACGGAAACCUGUGGCUGAACCUUCCCUGCAGCCCUCGUUUAGACGUCUUGCAUCUGGAGACCUACGUGGAUACCUGGGUGCAUUUGCAUUUCAUCUCUAAUGUUUAUGAGGGACCCAGUAAGCACCAGCCGACCCACCAGAAGCUGAGAAUUCCUCUUGUCCUCACCUCCUUUUCUGCUGUUAAUGUCCAUCCACCCAUUCUACAGAUGAGAAAACAGAGGCUCAGAGACCUCCACGGUGUAACCCAAAGACCAUCUAGGUAGUGACGGGGCCAAGAUGAGGACCCAGGUCUCCUUGGGGCCAAAGUGUUUCUUCCUUCCUUCCUUCGUUCUUUGCUUCCUUCCUUUUUCCUUCCUCCCUUCUUCCCUCCCUUGCUUCCUUCUCUUCCUCCUACCCUCCCUCCUUCCAUCCUUCCUUCUCUCCUUCCUUCCAUCCUUCUCUCCCUCCUGAUUCAUUUCUUUUCUCUUUCUUUUUCUUUCUUUUUUCUUUCUCUUUCCUUCCUUCCCUCCUUCCCUCUCUCUGUUUCUUCCUUCCAUUGUUUCUUUCUUUCUUUCCUUCCUUCCUUCCUUCCCUCCCUUCUUUCUCUCUUUCUUUCUUUCUUUCUUUCUUUCUUUUUUCUUUCUUUCUUUCUCCUUCUUUCUUUCUCUCCUUUCUUUCUCUCUUUCCUUCUUUCUUUCUUUCUUUCCUUCUUUCUCUCUCUUUCUUUCUUUCCUUCUUUCUUUCUUUCCUUCUUUCUUUCUCCCUCUCUCUCUUUCUUUCUUUAUU
ensembl:lncRNA